rnacentral:lncRNA from 1 species
CCACAGCCAUCUCUCUGGCCUUGACAGACACCGCAGAGAGGAGGUUUCUGCAUGCAAAAAGUGUUCUUUUCCACGUUAAAAAUAAUUAAACAAAUUUCUUUUUUUGAGAUAGGGUCUCCUCGGAUUGCUCUGUAGCUAUGGCUGGUGUUGAAUGCUGAUCCUCUCGUGUCCAUCUUCUAGGUGGACCGUAUGUGUGUGCCACCAUGCCUGGUUACUGGUACACAUCAAAGCAUCCAUUGUAAUGAAGAAUAUGCCUCCUAAAGUUGGCCCCACUGCUGCAGGAUGCAUGUCAUGCCCUCGUUGCUUUAGCUUUCUGGGACGCUGCCGCAUGUUAGUAUCAGAUUUACGUCUUGGGAGCAUCAUUAUAAGGAGGGCCUUGGGAAACCCAUUAUGGGAAGGUGACAUGGGCAUCACUGUGAUUGACUGCUUUAUGGCUGUUGCCAUAGUGAGAGAUAAAUCUCCCUGCAAGUGGGGUCACAGCAUCUAUGUAUCUGAGCCUCCCCUACAUGAUGGGAAGAUGGGCUUAGGGUUUAGUUAGGAACUUGCUGAUACAAAAUAUUUGAUAAUACUCUGUAGCACACUGAAAUGGAAUCUCCUUUUAGAAGGGGCUUGGCUGCAACCUUGUUGCCCAAGGUGAUGCAACAUUUAAUGACUUAGCUUUGCCUGUGUGUUUUCUGUAAGGACAAAAGAGACCCUUGAUACCAUUGUCCCAGUUGGAGCUUUUUAAGUGGGCUAACGCGCAAGCUUAUUACUUUCAGGUCAGUGGAGGCAGUGGCCUGGGAUAUUACAGUCAAAGCAGGAAACGGCGUUCUUGUGUGAUGUACAGGCAAAGGGAGUAGAUACAGACGUUGAGGUGGACAUGGAGGAAAUGGACCAGAAAGGUGGAGAAGGUGGAACUCACCAGGUUGUCUGGAAGGGUUGAUGGCAGCUACUCACUCUUAAGGCGAUCUAGCUGUCCCUUGUCCUCACAGCCACUCAGAAGUAGAAAUUAUUAAGUUAUGGCAUGUCUCCAGUUCAGUAACCCACAUUCUUGACAGUG